AUAUAUAUAAUCUAAAGGGAAUUAGCACUAAAUAAAAUAUAUUUCGGCUUGCUUACAUUUCGGUUUUUGCAGUAUACCCAGAAAAUAUUUUCUCAGAAAUUAAAUAAAUAAAGAGUAUCGAACCACUGGACUACUUACGACUGACUCACUGAUCAUCCAAGCCAAUCCAAUCAGUCCACCACUUCCCACCCAAAAACAGACCAUCGGUCAGUGGUCACCAAAACAAGAACAAUGUACACAUGUAACCAAGAAAAAGCGCUUUGAGAAGUCCUCUAAUUCAAAUAAAGUGACUUGAUUCCACUAAACAGAUUGGACAAUACUGAGAACAAACACUAAGAUGCCAGGGAAACUGAUGCUAGUUGCUCUCCUCUUGCUCAUUCAAGCAUGUGUGUCCAUAGUGGCCCAGACGCCAGCCCCAGGGGACUCUGACUCUGAGGGGGUUCUGCAGCGGGCAACAGAGGCAUACAGAGGGGCCAAAGUUAAAGCCCGAGAAUAAGAGAGGUGGUGUGGGCCUUUGCUGGUGCGUACUACGAG